GGACCUGUCGCCUAGCCUGGAUAGGGCACCAACCUCCUAAGUUGGUUCUCGUGAGUUCAAAUCUCAUCAGGUCCG
rnacentral:tRNA from 1 species